rnacentral:rRNA from 1 species
UGGGGAAUAUUGCGCAAUGGGGGAACCCUGACGCAGCAACGCCGCGUGCAGGAAGAAGGUCUUCGGAUUGUAAACUGUUGUCGCGAGGGAAGAAAAAAUGACGGUACCUCGUGAGAAAGUCACGGCUAACUACGUGCCAGCAGCCGCGGUAAUACGUAGGUGACAAGCGUUGUCCGGAUUUACUGGGUGUAAAGGGCGCGCAGGCGGGACAGCAAGUCAGAAGUGAAAUACCGGGGCUCAACCUCGGGGCUGCUUUUGAAACUGUUGUUCUUGAGUAUCGGAGAGGAAAGCGGAAUUCCCAGUGUAGCGGUGAAAUGCGUAGAUAUUGGGAGGAACACCAGUGGCGAAGGCGGCUUUCUGGACGACAACUGACGCUGAGGCGCGAAAGUGUGGGGAGCAAACAGGAUUAGAUACCCUGGUAGU